rnacentral:rRNA from 1 species
AUGAAGACAUACAUUGCUGCCAUCCUGCUGGUGCUUUCCCUCGCUGGGCGCCUCUCCGCCGCCGCCGCCGCCGAUGACGACAAGGUGGACGCCGUUAUCCGUCUCCCGAGCCACGGUCCAGGGGUCGCUGGCGCCGGUGAAGCAACGGCGGCCGUGAAGGAUUUUGAGCGGCCGAGCUGCUGCAACCGGGAGCGGUGCGGCGGGAUCCUGCCGAUAUGUCACUGCGAUGAUAUGUUCGACCACAAGUGCCCCGCCACCUGCGUGGACUGCGUGUCCUUGGGCCGAUCUGGCUACUACUGCGGAGACAGUUACCUUCCUGGCCCCGUGCCCAGGUGCACCAAGGUUGGCCGCAACGGCGACCUCUCCGGCGGUAACUAG